rnacentral:lncRNA from 1 species
AAAUAUUAGAAAAUAAAUUUGAAAAAUCUUCUAACAAUAAAUAAAAACAUUGGCAUACCAUAAAAUUUAAAUUUUGUGGAAUCAAAUGUUUCAACGAUACACAUUACAACUGUAUAUCAGUAAAUAAUAUAACUAUUACUUGAAUACAUUGUUAUAUGGCUAAAUAAUAAUAAAAAUUAAUUACAAUUUUAAUAUAGUACACGCAUAUUAAAAUAAGUGUAAAAGUUUAGUACAAAAAAUAAUUUCUUUAUAUAGCCUCGGGCCCAAAAUGCUUUGGACCAGCUCUGUCUAAGAUGUAUGUAAUGCAAUAGAAAACAUACAUCACAAGUGAAACACAUCCGCGCGAGGAGUGAUAGGUGCGAAUAUAAACAUUCAAAGAACUAAACCACAAAUCAAGAAAGAGGGAGUCAAGCUUAACUUAGAUAGGGUGCUUAGCAAAGUUCUCGAGAAAAUGAUUGAGUAGAAUCUUUGCAUACUAACUAACGUCAUUCACAUAUAUGAUGGUGGCACAACAAUAUAACACUUUAACUAACAUGUACAAGCACAUAAGAAAUACGACAAGUGCAAAUCCGACCCGAAGAAGAUUCAAAAUGAAAUGACCGAAGGGUAUCUUAACUUGAUGCAUGAAACAAUUGAAAUAACAGACUAAUGAAUAGAGGUUAAGUGCACAAAAACAAGAUCACAAACUACAGGUGUAAGGCAAGACGAUAAAGUAAAACAAUGAUUAUCGAUGACGACAAUUGAUUUGGUAGACCAUUUCAUUCUUCCGCAAAAAAGCUACGUCUAGUUGGAGAGACUUAUGAUUGAACAUCGGACAACACUCUCUCCGUCUUAUUCUCCUUCAACUCAAUAUUGAUAAGACUCCGGUUAAUUUCACUCGUGGUAGAUACUUGUCGGCGAUCCCCAAACUAUCGACUAACUUAGUCUUCGAUGACCACAACUAGUCUUGGUCACAUAGCAAACCACAAACACUCUAAGUUGUCGAAGACUGACUCGAAGACGACAAUUACUCUUCGUCCCUCGAGUCGAUACCUAUACAAAACAAAAAGGUAACUGAAUUUCAUCACUUUUGCACAUAACAUAUAGGGA